CGAUAUCCUCCAUCUGCUCCUGCCACCAACUUGUUGUCGAAAGAGAUUUUCUCAAGCUUGGCUCCCAAAGGCCCACCUUCGAUCACACUGUAACUGUAGGACAAAUUGGCUUCAUCAACUGCAUCAACAUGGUGCUUCACGUACUGAUAUGGAAGGCCUAUAUAUGCAGGUAAAGUUUAGUUUAUUCACCUCCAACAAAUAAUUCCAAAAAUGAAAG